UACAGAGGUCCCAAGCGUUGUUCGGAUUCACUGGGCGUAAAGGGUGCGUAGGCGGUCGGGUAAGUCUGAUGUGAAAUCUCACAGCUUAACUGUGAAACUGCAUUGGAUACUAUCCGACUCGAGGAAUGGAGGGGAGACUGGAAUUCUCGGUGUAGCAGUGAAAUGCGUAGAUAUCGAGAGGAACACCAGUGGCGAAGGCGAGUCUCUGGGCAACUACUGACGCUGAGGAGCGAAAGCGUGGGGAGCGAACAGG
rnacentral:rRNA from 1 species